GGAUUAUAGCUCAGUGGUAGAGCACUUGCCUAGCAUGUAUGAGGCACUGGAUUCAAUUCUCAGCACCA
rnacentral:tRNA from 1 species